UAAGUAGGGUGCAAGCGUUAAUCGGCAUUACUGGGCGUAAAGCGUGCGCAGGCGGUUAUAUAAGACAGAUGUGAAAUCCCCGGGCUCAACCUGGGAACUGCAUUUGUGACUGUAUAGCUAGAGUACGGCAGAGGGGGAUGGAAUUCCGCGUGUAGCAGUGAAAUGCGUAGAUAUGCGGAGGAACACCGAUGGCGAAGGCAAUCCCCUGGGCCUGUACUGACGCGCAUGCACGAAAGCGGGGGGAGCACACAGGAUUCGAUAACAGGGUAGUCC
rnacentral:rRNA from 1 species